rnacentral:rRNA from 1 species
CCCUUAGAUGUUCUGGGCCGCACGCGCGCUACACUGAUGCAUUCAACGAGCCUAUCCUUGACCGACAGGUCCGGGUAAUCUUUGAAUCUGCAUCGUGACGGGGAUAGAUUAUUGCAAUUAUUAAUCUUCAACGAGGAAUGCCUAGUAGGCGCAAGUCAUCAGCUUGCGUCGAUUACGUCCCUGCCCUUUGUACACACCGCCCGUCGCUCCUACCGAUUGGGUGUGCUGGUGAAAUGUUCGGAUCGACCGUUUGUCGCGGUUUCCGCGGCUCGUGGCUGAGAAGUUCAUUAAACCCUCCCACCUAGAGGAAGGAGAAGUCGUAACA